GCCAAUCCGCCAUUUUUUCUUCUCGCUAAGAUUUUUUGUAGUCCUAUUGGAAAAAUGCAGAAUGUCUGGUUAUUUUAGCCACACACAGCUCAAAACUGUUCCUCGUUUUAAGGAAGGGUGGUGUGGCAGUAUUUAAACCCAGGAGCUGAUGACACUACUGCUAAAAAAACACAGAAGAAAAAGUAGUGUGUUUGCGUUUGUUUGUGUGUGUGUGUGUGCGUGCGUGCGCGCGCGCGCGUGGUUCGUUCGUUCUGUCUCCAGGCUAGUGGCUAAGUACUGAGGGCUUCAUCUAUCUAAAAGGAGUUAUUUCCAUCUGAAUUUGGCAGCACCGGGACACAGCAGCAGAGCGAGUCCACAUCCAGAAGUCUGGAGCCGUGUUUCACUGACAGGCUGUCAGCCUAACGCCCUGAUGAGCUCAGCUGGGACAAACUGGUCUGAUGUUUAGGAACACAGAACGCUCAGAUGUUGGAGCUCACGUCACCUACUGAGGAAGGAGACCCACCAGUAAAGAGACGGUCUGGACCAGACCAAAAAUAUGGCGAUGACAUCAUGGAACUGGUCUUUGGAAAAGUUUUCCCUGAACCAACUCCGUUUCUAGAUGAGGUAGAGAAGAUCUGCAUCUCACCAACUCUCUGGUCUCAGUAUUCAGACAACGGAGGUCUCCCACUGUUAUCCAGGACCAGUUUGAAGCCCACAUACUGCCCCUCCCUCAUCAUCAGGAAACAUCAAUCCGUAUCCUGAGGACAACAGAAGACGGCAGGAGGACAGGAACUCUGAGACCUAGACACCACCAGCACCGAGACACAAAGCACCUGUGUGCACAACGCCUGUUUUAACUACUAAAGCCUGUUUAUUAUAUUGUUCUACUUAUUUGCUGUGAGGUUAAUACUUAGAAAAUUUGUAUAUUAAUGUAAACAAUUUAAAAAAAAUCACUGAUUGUAUGUUUUCUUUUAGAUGUAAUGGUCCAAACUCAGCCUUGUAGACAUUUAUUGCAUCCUGUAGGUAAAUACACAGAACAGGCUCAGGUCCAGGAUGACCCAGCAUGCUCUUCUUCCAUUCUGGCUGUUAGGGAUUGUAUCAAUAACUCAAUGCCUACUGAUGUUUCCACCUAAUGGUGUUUAUUUAGAAUGCAGGUAAGAUUUAACUAUAUUUGUUAGCAAAGCAGACUGAUCUUGGGAAUUUCACUGCAGCACUGAUGUCCACCUCUCUGUACACAUUAGAGAGAAUUACCACUUUACAGCUAAACACAUUUAAUAAAGAUAUAGGCUACGCAUUGCAGACAAUAAAAACAAAGUUGUAAGCAUUAGAAUUAUAAUGAUGACAUUAAAGAACAUUUGGAGUAAUGUUCUUUAUUUUUGACUAGAAUCUCAAAUCUUUAAAUUAAAAUGUAACUGCUUUUUAUCCAUUUUCAGCCAUUAAGACACCCAAUAUAAAAUAAGACUACUUAUAAAAUUAUUUAUAAUUAUAUGUAUGUAUAUAGAUAGAGAUCUUAAUAAAAUAUAUUCUUUGAAUGGUGUUUUAAUGAGCUGUAUCAUUUUUUUAAACAUUUUUUACAGAAAUAAGCAAGCAGCAUUCCUUGUGUGUGUGUGUGUGUGUGUGUGCGUGCGCGCGUGUGCCUGCUCGCUUGUCCCUCCGUCGGCCGUGACGGGUGUGUGUGAGUGACUACAGACAAAUGCAUGAGAGAGUUAGCAGCCAUGAAACAGCUUGAUGAACUACUCUCCCCACGUGUUUUAAAAAUGCUAAUAUGCUAUGCUAAAUAAUGAUUUCUCUAUAGAACUACAAAGUCCGACUGGGGGAGGAGAGUACAGGACUGCACUAUGGAGGGGGGCGGAGUUUACAGCUCCUCCUCCAGUUUAAAGAGACAGUACCCCAAAACGGCUCGUUCUCAAGACUCUCCUCAGAACAGGGGUAGAUGAGGGUCUGUAGAGCAACAAUAAUGAGGAAAUCAGACCAAAGAACUGCAGUUCCACUGUUUUUAGACCCCCAACUGAAGGAUUUAGAUGUAAAAAGGAAUAACUUAAAAGCAUGUUAUGUCUCCUU